UGGAUGCUGACGAGCGGCGGACGGGUGAGUAAUGCAUAGGAAUCGGCCCGAUAGUGGGGGAGAACCUGGGGAAACCCAGGCUAAUACCGCAUACGUCCUACGGGAGAAAGGGGGCUCCGGCUCCCGCUAUGGGAGGAGCCUAUGUCGGAUUAGCUGGUCGGUGAGGUAACGGCUCACCAAGGCCACGAUCCGUAGCUGGUCUGAGAGGAUGAUCAGCCACAUCGGGACUGAGACACGGCCCGAACUCCUACGGGAGGCAGCAGUGGGGAAUAUUGGACAAUGGGGGAAACCCUGAUCCAGCCAUGCCGCGUGUGUGAAGAAGGCCCUCGGGUUGUAAAGCACUUUCAGCGAGGAAGAACGCCUAGCGGUUAAUACCCGCUAGGAAAGACAUCACUCGCAGAAGAAGCACCGGCUAACUCCGUGCCAGCAGCCGCGGUAAUACGGAGGGUGCAAGCGUUAAUCGGAAUUACUGGGCGUAAAGCGCGCGUAGGUGGCUUGAUAAGCCGGUUGUGAAAGCCCCGGGCUCAACCUGGGAACGGCAUCCGGAACUGUCAAGCUAGAGUGCAGGAGAGGAAGGUAGAAUUCCCGGUGUAGCGGUGAAAUGCGUAGAGAUCGGGAGGAAUACCAGUGGCGAACGCGGCCUUCUGGACUGACACUGACACUGAGGUGCGAAAGCGUGGGUAGCAAACAGGAUUAGAUACCCUGGUAGUCCACGCCGUAAACGAUGUCGACCAGCCCGUUGGGUGCCUAGCGCACUU
rnacentral:rRNA from 1 species